rnacentral:rRNA from 1 species
AUUGAACGCUGGCGGCAUGCCUUACACAUGCAAGUCGAACGGUAACAGGCCGCAAGGUGCUGACGAGUGGCGAACGGGUGAGUAAUGCAUCGGAACGUGCCCAGUCGUGGGGGAUAACGCAGCGAAAGCUGCGCUAAUACCGCAUACGAUCUAUGGAUGAAAGCGGGGGACCGUAAGGCCUCGCGCGAUUGGAGCGGCCGAUGUCAGAUUAGGUAGUUGGUGGGGUAAAGGCGCACCAAGCCGACGAUCUGUAGCUGGUCUGAGAGGACGACCAGCCACACUGGGACUGGGACACAGCCCAGAAGCCCACGGGAGGCAGCAGUGGGGAAUUUUGGACAAGGGGCGCAAGCCUGAUCCAGCAAUGCCGAGUGCAGGAAGAAGGCCUUCGGGUUGUAAACCGCUUUUGUCAGGGAAGAAAUCCUUUGGGUUAAUACCCCGGGGGGAUGACGGUACCUGAAGAAUAAGCACCGGCUAACUACGUGCCAGCCGCCGCCGUAACAC